rnacentral:rRNA from 2 species
CGGGAAAAUAAUAAGUGUUUUAUGGCACUUUUUAAUCCAUAUCCACCUUGUGUGCAAUGUCGGUCGGUCUUCUUUAUGGAGAUUGAUCAAACAUCAACCUAAUUUUUAACUCUUUGUCUGAAAAAUAUUAUGAAUAAAUAAUUCAAAUACAACUUUCAACAACGGAUCUCUUGGCUCUCGCAUCGAUGAAGAACGCAGCGAAAUGCGAUACGUAAUGUGAAUUGCAGAAUUCAGUGAAUCAUCGAAUCUUUGAACGCAUAUUGCGCUCUUUGGUAUUCCGAAGAGCAUGCUUGUUUGAGUAUCAGUAAACACCUCAAAGCUUUUGAUUUAUUUUGAAAGUUUUGGACUUGAGCAAUCCCAACACCAAUCUUUUAGAUCGGCGGCGGGUUGCUUGAAAUGCAGGUGCAGCUGGACAUUCUCCUGAGCUAAAAGCAUAUUUAUUUAGUCCCGUCAAACGGAUUAUUACUUUUGCUGCAGCUAAUAUAAAGGGAGUUUGACCGUAUUGGCUGACUGAUGCAGGAUUUCACAAGGGUCGGCAACGAUUCUUGUAAAACUCGAUCUCAAAUCAAGUAAGACUACCCGCUGAACUUAAGCAUAUCAAUAAGCGGAGGAA